UACGAAGGGGGCUAGCGUUGCUCGGAAUCACUGGGCGUAAAGCGCACGUAGGCGGAUUGCUAAGUCAGGGGUGAAAUCUUGGAGCUCAACUCCAGAACUGCCUUUGAUACUGGCGACCUUGAGUCCGGGGAGAGGUGAGUGGAACUGCGAGUGUAGAGGUGAAAUUCGUAGAUAUUCGCAAGAACACCAGUGGCGAAAGCGGCUCACUGGAUCUCUUCUGACGCUGAGGCACGAAAGCUAGGGUAGCAAACGGG
rnacentral:rRNA from 1 species